rnacentral:rRNA from 1 species
UUCCGGCGUUGAAUCCAAUUGAACCGCAGGCUUCACCCCUUGUGGUGCUCCCCCGCCAAUUCCUUUAAGUUUCAUACUUGCGUACGUACUUCCCAGGCGGCAAACUUAACGGCUUCCCUGCAGCACUGCAUUGGCCACAAGCCAAUGCAUCACUGAGUUUGCAUAGUUUACAGCUGGGACUACCCGGGUAUCUAAUCCGGUUUGCUCCCCCAGCUUUCAUCCCUCACCGUCGAACGUGUUCUGGUAGACCGCCUUCGCCACAGGUGGUCAUCAAUAGAUCAAAGGAUUUUACCCCUUCCUACCGAGUACCGUCUACCUCUCCCACUUCCUAGUUAUGCAGUAUUCCCGGCAGCCCAUACGUUAAGCGUAUGGAUUUAACCGAAAACUUACAAAACGAGCUACGGAUGCUUUAGGCCCAAUAAUCAUCCUGACCACUUGGGGUGCUGGUUUUACCGCGGCGGCUGACACCAGAACUUGCCCACCCCUUAUUCGUUAGUGUUUCUAGGACUGACAAAAGGUUUCUUUAGCAGAAACCACUCGGAUUAACCUUGUCGUGCUUUCGCACAUUGCAAAGUUUUCUCGCCUGCUGCGCCCCAUAGGGCCUGGGUCCGUGUCUCAGUACCCAUCUCCGGGCCACUCCUCUCAGAGCCCGUACCUGUAAUAGUCUUGGUGGGCCAUUACCUCACCAACAAACUGAUAGGCCGCAGUCCCAUCCUAUGGCGAUAAAUCAUUUGAGACAUAAACCAUUCCAAGUAUAAUGUUCUAUCGGGCAUUAUUCUCAGUUUCCCGAGAUUAUUCCCGUCCAUAGGGUAGAUUGACUACGCGUUACUGAGCCGUCUGNCCUUGUAUUGCUACAAUGACUCGCAUGGCUUAGUAUCAAUCCGAUAGCAGUCAGGUCCGGCAGGAUCAACCGGAA